AGCGAACGCUGGCGGCAGGCCUAACACAUGCAAGUCGAACGAACCUUUCGGGGUUAGUGGCGGACGGGUGAGUAACACGUGGGAACGUGCCUUUAGGUUCGGAAUAACUCAGGGAAACUUGUGCUAAUACCGAAUGUGCCCUUCGGGGGAAAGAUUUAUCGCCUUUAGAGCGGCCCGCGUCUGAUUAGCUAGUUGGUUGAGGUAAUGGCUCACCAAGGCGACGAUCAGUAGCUGGUCUGAGAGGAUGAUCAGCCACAUUGGGACUGAGACACGGCCCAAACUCCUACGGGAGGCAGAAGUGGGGAAUCUUGCGCAAUGGGGGAAAGCCUGACGCCGCCAUGCCGGGUGAAUGAUGAAGGUUUUAGGAUUGUAAAAUUCUUUCACCGGGGACGAUAAUGACGGUACCCGGAAAAGAAGCCCCGGCUAACUUCGU
rnacentral:rRNA from 1 species